rnacentral:lncRNA from 1 species
CGGCCUCUGAUGCAAGACUUACCUACUGUAUCUAUAUUUUUUCUCGUCCUGAACAUAUAUAUAAUAAAAAAAAUAAUGUGGUACGAGUGUAAAGAGACUCUCCUUAAUGCUCAUACCACAUAGUCUGCUAUAAAAGGCCCCGAAAGGACAAAUGUAACACAAUUCAAACAAGUCAACUAAUGGCCUUAUUUUUGGGCAAAAAAAAAAUUAAAAAAAAAAACGAAAACACUGCCACUGAAUUGCAGGCUUCUAAUUUGUGUUAGGCCUAGGCAAAUACAGGAUGUGGCAACGAUAAACAUGUUACCUGGUGUCCAAUCCACCCC